AUUCACCACUAGGGGAGCCAUUUGGCUGAGACGGGAAACCGGACCCUUUGAACCUGUUGAGUUAAAACUUGCGUAGGGAAGAUGGUAGACCGACUA
rnacentral:ncRNA from 1 species